UCUUCGGCAAUGGACGAAAGUCUGACCGAGCAACGCCGCGUGAGUGAAGAAGGUUUUCGGAUCGUAAAACUCUGUUGUUAGAGAAGAACGUUGCAUAGAGUGGAAAAUCAUGCAAGUGACGGUAUCUAACCAGAAAGGGACGGCUAACUACGUGCCAGCAGCCGCGGUAAUACGUAGGUCCCGAGCGUUGUCCGGAUUUAUUGGGCGUAAAGCGAGCGCAGGUGGUUUAAUAAGUCUGAUGUAAAAGGCAGUGGCUCAACCAUUGUGUGCAUUGGAAACUGUUAGACUUGAGUGCAGUAGAGGAGAGUGGAAUUCCAUGUGUAGCGGUGAAAUGCGUAGAUAUAUGGAGGAACACCGGUGGCGAAAGCGGCUCUCUGGACUGUCACUGACACUAGCUCGAAG
rnacentral:rRNA from 1 species